GCAGGCGAAGAUCUUAUCGGCAGAAGGAAGUGCUGAGCUACGGGGCUGCUCUUCUCUGAAGCCAGCGGAUUUACCAGGUUUAGGUCCAAGUUACAUGUGACUGGUGAGGUGCAAGACUGCUUUAUUCUUUACCAGACUAGUGCAAGUCAUUGGAUAAUGUGAAUAUCACAUCCUUUUGGACAAUGACAUCUUCAUCUCCACCUUGAUAAGAAAGCAAGGAACAAAGUUGGACAAGCAGUAUGGGAACCAGAAGCUACAUCUGUGUUGGUCAUGCCACAGUGAGCAAAAGCGGCAAAAUUCUGUUUGGCUUGGAAGACUAGGAAUCAGAGAGAAAGGUCUCAAAUUUAGAAGACUCCAGUCAAUGACAUAAAGAAGGGACUUCUGUGUGGCUGUUCAUAUCAUCUGUGUCAGAAGUCAAAUUUCUGCCCCACUUUAGAUGGUCUGCAUCACCUUACAGAAGAUCCCUAUCUUUCCCCAUUAAUAUGUAUCAUUUAGGAAGCCUGCUCACCUGUAUAGAAACUUAAUGUGGCUGAAUGUAAAUUGGAAAGUACUAUUAAAUUUUCUUUCUACAAGACCAAUAAAGUAUAGGUAUGUGUUUCACAGGCAUUUAAAGCCACCACAUGAAUUUUACUCUACUGUAUUUAUUUGCAAUGGUACCUACUCCUGUACAUUCACUUACUGUUCUCUGUAUUUAUGUUGAGAUGGCUGAGAAUAUAAACCCAUUACCUUAUUUCUCCUUUUAAAAUUUGACAUAUUAAUGAUUCACUUUUCUACUUAAAUUCUUCUCUGCCCCAUCCCCACUCAAACAAAGAAGUGGAAUUUGGAAACAUAGCAUUAGAAAUUACUUUUUGAGUCACUCAGUCUAGUUCCCUUUUAUAGGCAACCAUGAAAUCUCUUAUGUAAAGUAAAAAGGUGUCAUCCUAAAGCCAGUGAGGAUAUUUACCCCAUUACUCCUAUUUUAAGGCUGUUUUGGAAGCUUAAUUUCCUGAUGGUUGAAAAUUUUCUUCUAAUUUACAAUCUAAGUGUGUUCAUACCAAGUACAUAUACUAGUCUGUUGACUAUUAUUAGCCUUAAACUAAAUAAUACAUACUUUGUCUCUGAAAGGUAUCUCUAACUAAUGCCUUUCUAGACAACUGAAUUUCCAUAUAAGCCAAUUCUUUCAUCUCCCCUUGUAAUACAUGCUCUUUAUUGCCUUGAUCACCCUAAAAGCUCUUUGGAUUGUCCUGCCAGCAAAGUAUAAAUAAUUGAAAGAUCCAAAGGAUAAGAAGGGAGCCUUUUUUAAUCCAUCUAAAAAAAAACCCGAACCAAAUAUUUACACCAGUUGUGCUGUCAACCCUUAGUUUUGUAGAAGGAUGGAUUUUCACAAGAGUGGCACAUCAUUUGUGUGAUGUUUUGAUGUUUUAGAAGGAAAGCUGCUAUAUAAAGAAGAGUAUACGAGGAAUUUAGUUGUUACGGGGAAAUCCUCAUGAUGAUAAAACAUUUGCAAUAGACUGAAUUAAGAUCCUAGUUUAUCUCUACUUAUUGUACAAUGUGCAGAUUUUACAUCACUUGACAAAGAUCUUCAUCUAAGAGUUGUAUUUUUCUAGGCCAAUAAGCCUACUUAAGUUCUGCUUCUACCUGGGUAGUAUGAACCAACUUACCUGACUUCACUGAUAGAAGGUGUCUAAAGUUGAUGCAUGUAAACAACCAUAUUAGUUGCACGUCAAAAGUCAUAUGGGUAUCAAAAGUUGUGUUAUAACUUCUAUAAAAUCAUGGUUGUACAGUAUUAAAGUCUAUAGUUGUUUCAUCAAGA